ACGUACGCUGGCGGCACGCCUAACACAUGCAAGUCGAACGAAGUAGCAAUACUUAGUGGCAGACGGGUGAGUAACAUGUAGGUAUCUGCCCUUUGGCCUGGAAUAACACGAGGAAACUUGUGCUAAUACCGGAUAAGUCUUUACGGAGAAAGCUUUAUGCACCAUUGGAUGAGCCUGCGUAAGAUUAGCUAGUUGGUGGGGUAAUGGCCUACCAAGUCUAUGAUCAAUAGCUGAUUUGAGAGGAUGAUCAGCCACAUUGGGACUGAGACACGGCCCAAACUCCUACGGGAGGCAGCAGUGGGGAAUCUUGC
rnacentral:rRNA from 1 species